GGAAAGUCACUUGUCUCCUGGGUUUCAGAUUCUUUGUUGCAUGGUCCGCCCAUCUCCAUUUGUCAUCAUUUUUUGAGAUUCUCAAGUACAUCAGCACAUUCGGCCUCAGGUUGGCAAGAUUUUUGUCUUAGAGCUGUUGCUUUAAAGGGAAACGGUCAGGUCUUAGACACUUAGGAAGGUCUUGGGCUUCUGUUCAUUCUGGUGCCAAACCAGUGGGAUUCAAAUUUCACACAAUCUGGGUUUUACUCAUGGAGGUUAACCUGAUAGGAAUAAUCCUUCGUUGCUCUAUUGAGGUGUCAUAAAGUUUCCUGUUUCAAACAGCUACAUUACUUGAUUAAAACAAUGUUAAAAUU
rnacentral:lncRNA from 1 species